rnacentral:rRNA from 1 species
GAUGAACGCUAGCGGCAGGCUUAAUACAUGCAAGUCGUACGGGAUCCGAGGUAGCAAUACUUUGGUGAGAGUGGCGCACGGGUGCGUAACACGUAUGCAACCUACCUUUAACCGGGACACAACCCACCGAAAGGUGAGCUAAUAUCCCAUAACACUGCGAAGUGGCAUCACUUUGCAGUUAAAACUCCGGUGGUUAUUGAUGGGCAUGCGCGACAUUAGCUAGUUGGUGAGGUAACGGCCCACCAAGGCUACGAUGUCUAGGGGUUCUGAGAGGAUUAUCCCCCACACUGGGUACUGAGACACGGACCAGACUCCUACGGGAGGCAGCAGUAAGGAAUAUUGGUCAAUGGGCGGCAAAGCCUGAACCAGCCAUUGCCGCCGUGAAGG